CAGUGUCCCCCCAGGACUGGUCAGUGUGGGGUCACCCCAGUGUCCCCAGGACUGGUCAGUGCGGGGUCACCCCAAUGUCCCCAGGACUGGUCAGUGUGGGGUCACCCCAGUGUCCCCAGGACUGGUCACUGCGGGGUCACCCCAGUGUCCCCCCAGGACUGGUCACUGCGGGGUCACCCAAUGUCCCCAGGACUGGUCAGUGUGGGGUCACCCCAGUGUCCCCAGGACUGGUCACUGCAGUGACGUGAUGCUGCAGCUCCCAGGGGUCAGUUGGUCACCACAGGGGUCACUUGGCCAUGGCAGUGUCCCCACGGUGUCCCUGUGGUCACUGUGCCAUGGCAAUCCCUGUUCCACAGCCACGUCCCCACGGUGGUCACUGUGGUCAGUCACUGCUCCAUGGUGGUGUCCUGGUGUCCCCACGGUGGUCACUGUGCCAUGGUGGUGUCCCCACAGUGGUCACUGCUCUGUGGCAAUGUCCCCUCAGUGUCCCAGUGGUCAGUCACCGUGCCAUGGUAGUGCCUCUGCUGGUCACUCUGUUCACUGACCCAUGGCAAUGUCCCCGUGCUGGUCAGCGCUCCAUGGCCGUGUCCUGGGGCGGUCACUGUGGUCACUCAGCGCUCCAUGGCAGCACCCUGGGGUGGUCACUGUGGUCACUCAGCGCUCCAUGGCCGUGUCCUGGCGCAGCCUGGCCCUCACCACGCCGUCCAGCACGGCGUGCAGCCCCCGGCAGGCGGCCUGGGCAGCGUCCAGCACGGGCCGCAGCCGCUCCUGGUGCAGGCGGGCGCUGAGCUGGCACAGGGCCAGCUGCCCGCUGCCCGCCACCGUGGCCACGGCCAGCCUGGGGCCGCCGGCCGCCUCCUCGGCCGCGCUCAGGUCACUCAGGGCCACCGGGGGCCCGGCCGGG
rnacentral:lncRNA from 1 species